CAUAAAAUUAAAUUAUAAAAUAUCCUGCAGGAUGAAUAUGUCUCAUCUUAUCUUUACAUUCGGUCUUCAGAUUUAGUAGUUAAUUAUGCUAUUGGUUUGAUAGAGCUCUCACCAGUAGCUAUCUUCAAUAGGAAGGUAGAAGAUAAUGGUUGCUCUAAAAUCAGAAAAGAAUCAGGUGAGUUUCAGAACAAUCCAAACCCAAUCAACGGUCAACCUUUCGUACAAAAAGAAUUUUUGUUUAUAAAAUG
rnacentral:lncRNA from 1 species